AACUUUGUGCCCUGUUCUAGGCUAUCUAGUUAUUUGUUAUUAUGUAUUUUAGGUAUGAUUGAGGUAGAAAUGAUCUUAAUUAUUGUUCUGAAAUUCUUUUGUUCCAGGCACCGCCAUAUGUUUGUAAAACAAAUUGAUAUGGAUCAUGUCAUGAAGGCUAAAUCUAUCAGAGAAUUUGAUAAGCGAUUCACUUCUGUCAUGUUUGGAUACCGAACAAUCGAUGAUUAUUAUACUGAUGCCAGCCCAAAUCGUAGAUUGAAUUCAGUAGGAAUUCCAGUAUUGUGCCUGAAUUCUGUGGAUGAUGUUUUCUCACCAAGUCAUGGUAAAAUUAACGUUUUUGUUUCUAUUUUUUCAUGAAUUAACUUUUUAAAUAUUGUUCUGUUUUAAAAAAAUGUAAUAACCCCGGGCACAGUUGCACAUACCUGUAAUCCCAGUGACUAGGGAAGUUGAGGCAGGAGGAUCAAAAGUUUGAGGCCAGCCUCAGUAACUUAGCGAGAACCUGUCUCAAAAUAAAAAAUAAAAGGGCUGGGGAUGUGGCUCAGUAGUAGAGCACUUCUCUGUACAAUCCCUAGUGCCAGAGAAAAAAUUAAUAAAUAAAAUAUCACUCAUAAUUAUGUUUUCCACUGUGAUUAAAAAAAUAACUAAAUACUCACAAUUUAGUAUCUAAAUGUCUCAGAUCAUGUCUUAAAUGUUUUCAGAGUCCAUUAUCUAGUCCAGGGACUCCAGAGCAUCUCAGAACAAAUUAGGACUCAAUAUUUUCUUGUUCUCAUUUUUAUAACCUUUCCUUCUUAUCAAAUACACUGUUCUUUGGAAAGGUUAUGUUACAAUAUCUUUGCCUCAGGAGAACAUUGUCAUGACUUGCCUUUUGUUCCUGAUGUCCCUGUAUAAAAGAAUUUGAAGGGUUUUUUCCCCUUUUAACCUGGAAGAGAACUUGACACUUAAGAAACAUAGUGACCUUGAAUAUCUCAAUGAUGAGAGCAAAUUUGGGCUAAAAGGUCAUAUUUGAAGUGAAAACAGUUUUAAUUUCUCCCCUAGAUACAUCAGAAAAGAAAACUAUUCCAGACUCAACUUUCCUGCUAUCUUAAUUCAGGAAAUACGAAAUUUGACAACAUGAAUACCUGUUCAUGCACUUGCCUGUUGAAGCAGUAUGAUUAGAAGUAAUGAUUAUUAGGGAUGGGGUUGUAGCUCAGUGACAGAGUGCUUGCCUAGCAUGUGUGAGGUACUGGGUUCCAUCCUCAGCACCACAUAAAAGUAAUUAAAUAAAAUAAAGGUAUUGUGUCCAUCUGCAACUAAAAAAUUUUAAAAAAUAAAAAGGAGUAAUUAUAUUAGCUCAAGGAUCAAUACACUUGACUUCUGAUUUUAUCCUAAUGAAAUUUGACAAAGUAUUUUGUGAAGUCUCCUCUCCUUACUUCCCCCCUAAUUAUUUUAAAAAACACUUUCCCCAAGUACUCCAUUAAAAGCAAUUACUGUGGGCUAGGGAUGCAGCUCAGUAAGUAGUAAAGCCCUGGGCAAGCAUGCAUGAGGUCCUAGGUUCAAUCCUCAGCACCACACACACACACAUACACACACAAAAAAAGGAAAUAAAAUAAGAAAAAUACACAUUUAUUCUGACUCUAAGCAUUAUAUAUUGCAAAAAAUUCAGAAAAUCCCAAAUAUAUAUGUAUAUUUUUAUAAACUACCCAUUAUUAUUUCUUUUUUUAUGGAUCUUUAUUUAUUUUAUUUAUUUAUUUUUACAUGUUGCUGCUGAGCAUCAAACCCAGUGCCUCACAUGUGCUAGGCAAGCACUCUACCACUGUGCUACAAUCCCAGUCCCCCAUUAUUUCUUUACAAGAUCCCAUUUAAGCACAGGUAGCUUUAGAUGGCUGAAACAUUUGACCUUUGACCACAAAUCAGAAACGGAAACUCUCAACUUUAAUAUUACUUGACUUACAUAGUAAUUGUUUAGCCUAUUUUUGUUAGAUUAAGUAAGUCUAGUGUUUCGUCAUCCAUUUGCAUACUUCAUUGGCCCUACAGCCAUAAAAAUUUCCCAACAUUUAACUUGACCCACAGGGUGAAGUUUAAACUCAUUUCCAAUUCUUUCCCAAGCUCUUAAAAUAGUCUUGCCACGUUGAAAUAGUAGACAAUUGUCUGCAGUCUGAGAGAACAGGCAGCCAGCAUCUUUCACAUGAUUCAAAUGUGGCACAGCCUUUUGUUUUUCUGAUAUGACUGUAACAGUCAGUGUUAGAAAUUUCUGAGUAUGGCUGUGGGUGUAGCUCAAUGGUAGAAUACAUGCUUAGCAUUCACAGGCCCUGAAUUCAGUCCACAGGACCAAAAAAAAAAAAAAAAAAAAAAA